CCACCAUUUGCUUCACUUCCUGCCUCUCGAUGAAUCCUUGCUGCUUCAGAUCAUAUAGCUGAAACGAAACUGCCAAGUAAUAUUCCAGGACCAAAAUUAUGCAAAUCUGAAAGACUGUUCAAAAGAAGUAGCAAACAAGCGUGCGUGGCAAGAGAGACAUAUUAUCCCUAGGUGCCUACCUUCUUCAUUUCACCACCGUAUAUCUCCUCCACUCUGUUUUUCUUCCUCCACAACACACAGUAGAGUCCUAUCAUCAACAAUAUUCCGCCUACAAUGCUACAAAACAUACAUAAAAAUUUCGUUCAUUAAAAAAAUGUCUUUUUUAAAUAAGAGUUCUGAUGAAGUGUAUAAAGAACCUUCCAAGACUGAUGAUCCCGCACACGAAAAUUGCUGAAGAGAGGAGAGUAAAGAUUGAUAAGAAGACGGGUCGUCUGUUUUCUAUAAACCAUGAUUGCAAAUUAUGCGGUACCUCGUUUCUUUGCCGAUCACCACCGCUGAGUUUCUUAAACAGCUCAUAGAGAGCCUCUAGCUCGUUUUGAUUCGUA